rnacentral:rRNA from 1 species
UACGGAGGGGGCGAGCGUUGUUCGGAAUCACUGGGCGUAAAGGGCGCGUAGGCGGUUUGUUAUGUCAGGUGUGAAAUCCUGCCGCUUAACGGGAGAAGUGCACUUGAAACUGGGAGACUUGAGUAUGGGAGAGGGAAGUGGAAUUCCUGGUGUAGAGGUGAAAUUCGUAGAUAUCAGGAGGAACACCUGUGGCGAAGGCGACUCCCGGGCCCAAUACUGACGCUGAGGCGCGAAGGCGUGGGGAGCAAACAGG